rnacentral:rRNA from 1 species
GACGAACGCUGGCGGCGUGCUUAACACAUGCAAGUCGAACGAUGAAGCCCUUCGGGUGGAUUAGUGGCGAACGGGUGAGUAACACGUGGGCAAUCUGCCCUUCACUCUGGGACAAGCCCUGGAAACGGGGUCGUAAUACCGGAUAUGACACACGGCCGCAUGGUCUGUGUGUGGAAAGCUCCGGCGGUGAAGGAUGAGCCCGCGGCCUAUCAGCUUGUUGGUGGGG